rnacentral:sRNA from 1 species
UUGACAGCCCUGGAAACUGAACUCUUUUAUUUAUUCAUACCAGAGGUACAGCAUAGGCAGCUGUCAUGCAAACUUCUCCAUACUGGCCUAACAAAGUUUCUUAACCAUGACCUAAAGGGCUCCACUCCAAAGAAGAAUUCAGCUUUGUGCCUAUUGAAACCUUGAUCUUU